GGCCAUAGCUCAGUGGCAGAGCAUUUGCUUUCUAUUCAUAUGGUCCUAGGAUUGAUCCUGGUAGAGCUG